rnacentral:piRNA from 1 species
GACUAUGAUGGUGGACGGACAAG